rnacentral:lncRNA from 1 species
GGAAAACUCAGCCCUAAUAAUAAAUAAUUCUAAAUUGAGAAUUUCUAUAAAUUAAAAUUUAGGAAUAAUUAUAAAUUCUAAUUAUGAAACAAUGAUCAGUACCAAUAAUGAAUGGUUUGUCUACUAAAUCCAAAGAAUGGAUAUAUUAUGUCUUCAAAAUUAUAUCAAUCAACCCUAGUUAACAUAUACAAACUUAAAAAGAAAUUAGUCAUGCUUAGUAACAAAAAAAAAAAAUAUCUAUAAUAAUCAGUCCUGAUAAAAAAAAUUCUAUAAUAAUCAGCUAUUGUUGACUAAAAAUGAAAGCGAGAAAAAGAAAAAAAAACAAAAUUAGAAAAAUAAAAGUUGUACUUGAAAUUAUAAACGGGGUGUAAAAGAAAUCACAAAGAUGUAAUAUUAGAAUUGAUAAAAAAUAG